ACCCUUUUUAGACACGCCUUCGUAAACGUACUGCACUAUAAACGUGACCGACGGCAAUUUUCAUCCAGUGCAGCAGAUUUAGGGUAUCACUCACUAUUAUACCAACCUACUCAGCAUCCAGUUGAUACAAAUUACUUUUGAGGCCGUGUUUGAACUAAUUAGUGCGUCAUACUGAACCAGAGCUUAUGACAGACGGGUACAUUUCAGAAAUGUCUGUUUCUACUGGAACGGAAAAGAUGUUAACCACGCAGCGAAAGAGCUCAAAACCGUUGAUGGAAAAGAAACGAAGAGCAAGGAUUAACAGGUGUCUAACAGAAUUGGAGUUCCUUAUUCUUGAUGCUAGGAAGAACGAAACGGAAUCGCCCGAACGAAACUAGAGAAAGCUUGACAUCUUGAAAUGGCGUCAUGCAGAUG